UACAGAGGGUGCAAGCGUUAAUCGGAAUGACUGGGCGUAAAGGGCGUGUAGGUGGUUAUGUAAGUUGGUUGUGAAAUCCCCGGGCUUAACCUGGGAAUGGCAAACGAGACUGCAUAGCUAGAGUACAGUAGAGGGUAGUGGAAUUUCCGGUGUAGCGGUGAAAUGCGUAGAGAUCGGAAGGAACACCAGUGGCGAAGGCGGCUACCUGGACUGAUACUGACACUGAGGCGCGAGAGCGUGGGUAGCAAACAGG
rnacentral:rRNA from 1 species